UACAGAGGUCUCAAGCGUUUGUUCGGAUUCAUUGGGCGUAAAGGGUGCGUAGGCGGCGCGGUAAGUCGGGUGUGAAAUCUUGGAGCUUAACUCCGAAACUGCAUUCGAUACUGCCGUGCUUGAGGACUGGAGAGGAGACUGGAAUUUACGGUGUAGCGGUGAAAUGCGUAGAUAUCGUAAGGAAGACCAGUGGCGAAGGCGGGUCUCUGGACAGUUCCUGACGCUGAGGCACGAAAGCGGUGGGAUCAAACAGG
rnacentral:rRNA from 1 species